rnacentral:rRNA from 1 species
UGGGGAAUUUUCCGCAAUGGGCGCAAGCCUGACGGAGCAAUACCGCGUGAGGGAGGAAGGUCUUCGGAUCGUAAAGCUCUGUUGUUGGGGACGAAGGGCGAAGGGUUAAUAGCCCCUAGCCUGACGGUACCCUUCGAGGAAGCCCCGGCUAACUACGUGCCAGCAGCCGCGGUAAUACGUAGGGGGCGAGCGUUGUCCGGAAUUAUUGGGCGUAAAGAGCGUGUAGGCGGCCUGGUAAGUCUGCCGUGAAGACUCGGGGCUCAACCCUGAGCGUGCGGGGGAUACUGCCAGGCUAGAGGAUGGUAGAGGCGAGUGGAAUUCCCGGUGUAGCGGUGAAAUGCGCAGAUAUCGGGAGGAACACCAGUAGCGAAGGCGGCUCGCUGGGCCAUUCCUGACGCUGAGACGCGAAAGCGUGGGGAGCAAACAGGAUUAGAUACCCGGGUAGUCC